rnacentral:rRNA from 1 species
ACUCAAAUGAAUUGACGGGGGCCCGCACAAGCGGCGGAGCAUGCGGAUUAAUUCGAUGCAACGCGAAGAACCUUACCUGGGUUUGACAUACACCGGAAAGCAUCAGAGAUGGUGCCCCUUUUGUCGGUGUACAGGUGGUGCAUGGCUGUCGUCAGCUCGUGUCGUGAGAUGUUGGGUUAAGUCCCGCAACGAGCGCAACCCUCGUCCUAUGUUGCCAGCGGGUCAUGCCGGGGACUCAUAGGAGACUGCCGGGGUCAACUCGGAGGAAGGUGGGGAUGACGUCAAGUCAUCAUGCCCCUUAUGUCCAGGGCUUCACGCAUGCUACAAUGGCCGGUACAAAGGGCUGCGAUGCUGUAAGGCGGAGCGAAUCCCAAAAAGCCGGUCUCAGUUCGGAUUGGGGUCUGCAACUCGACCCCAUGAAGUCGGAGUCGCUAGUAAUCGCAGAUCAGCAACGCUGCGGUGAAUACGUUCCCGGGCCUUGUACACACCGCCCGU